UACGGAGGGUGCAAGCGUUAAUCGGAAUUACUGGGCGUAAAGCGUGCGCAGGCGGUUUGUUAAGUCUGUUGUGAAAUCCCCGAGCUCAACUUGGGAAUUGCAAUGGAUACUGGCAGGCUGGAGUAUGGUAGAGGAAGGUGGAAUUCCCGGUGUAGCAGUGAAAUGCGUAGAGAUCGGGAGGAACACCAGUGGCGAAGGCGGCCUUCUGGACCAAUACUGACGCUCAUGCACGAAAGCCAGGGGAGCGAACGGG
rnacentral:rRNA from 1 species